rnacentral:tRNA from 1 species
GUAGUCCAAUCGGUAGAGACUCCCGCCGUUCAGACUCAGGCUCUCGCUCCAGAUUCACCCGCGCCGCCCCGCGCCGGGAAAACGGAUGUGCGGGACCACCGUCAGCGCCGGUUCGAAUCCGGUCCGCG